GACGAACGCUGGCGGCGUGCCUAAUACAUGCAAGUAGAACGCUGAAGGAGGAGCUUGCUUCUCUGGAUGAGUUGCGAAUGGGUGAGUAACGCGUAGGUAACCUGCCUGGUAGCGGGGGAUAACUAUUGGAAACGAUAGCUAAUACCGCAUAACAGUAGAUAUCGCAUGAUAUCUACUUGAAAGGUGCAAUUGCAUCACUACCAGAUGGACCUGCGUUGUAUUAGCUAGUUGGUGAGGUAACGGCUCACCAAGGCGACGAUACAUAGCCGACCUGAGAGGGUGAGCGGCCACGCUGGGACUGAGACAGGGACCAGACUCCUACGGGAGGCAGCAGUAGGGAAUCUUCGGCAAUGGACGGAAGUCUGACCGAGCAACGCCGCGUGAGUGAAGAAGGUUUUCGGAUCGUAAAGCUCUGUUGUAAGAGAAGAACGAGUGUGAGAGUGGAAAGUUCACACUGUGACGGUAUCUUACCAGAAAGGGACGGCUAACUACGUG
rnacentral:rRNA from 1 species